rnacentral:rRNA from 1 species
CCUACGGGUGGCAGCAGUGGGGAAUAUUGCACAAUGGGGGAAACCCUGAUGCAGCGAUGCCGCGUGGAGGAAGAAGGUUUUCGGAUUGUAAACUCCUUUUAUCAGGGACGAUAUUGACGGUACCUUCAAAGGAAGCACCGGCUAACUCCGUGCCAGCAGCCGCGGUAAUACGGAGGGUGCGAGCGUUAAUCGGAAUUACUGGGCGUAAAGCGCACGUAGGCUGUAUGAAAAGUCAAGGGUGAAAUGCCACGGCUCAACCGUGGAACUGCCUUUGAAACUGUCAAACUGGAGUAUGUGAGAGGGCGGCGGAAUUCCUGGUGUAGGAGUGAAAUCCGUAGAUAUCAGGAGGAACAUCAGUGGCGAAGGCGGCCGCCUGGCACAAAACUGACGCUGAGGUGCGAAAGCGUGGGUAGCAAACAGGAUUAGAUACCCUAGUAGUC